rnacentral:lncRNA from 1 species
GGUUAAGGGACAAUCUUUAAUGUUUCCAGAAUUUUGCAGAUCCUGCCUGUCCCCUUCUCCCACCAGCAGCCUCUCCCCAGCCCCAGGCAGGGGCCUCUCUCUCCUGUGCACGAUCCCGGGUCUGCGGGAGCUCGGCUGCAGUUUCCUCCCUUGCCAGUAGGUGGCGACGGAAGCCCAGCCGGGCUGAGAACGCUGCUCCUGCAGGUCCGUGCGGUUCCCUGCAGGGGGCGCUGGCGGUCCUUGGCCAAGGGCACGGGCCGGGGUGGGGGGUGGGGGGCGACGAGGGAAAGAAAAGGGGGGAGGAGCCGCGGCCAGCGUGGGAAGGAAGGGGGCCAGAGGCCGGGACGGAGGCCGAACCCCGAGAGGGGAGCAGGGAAGAGCCCGGGGGUUUUGAGGAGAAAAGGAGGGAGCUGGAGGGGAGAGGGGAGGAGGGAGCGGAGGGGCGGAGGCCGCGGGCAGAGAGCCGGCGUGUGAACCGGGCGGGUUCCGAGACCCCCGGCGGAGGAAGGGCCGGAGAGGAGGGAAGGAUGCCGAGAAGGCGGCGAGGGCGGGUGGGCGGCUGAGCGGGGCGAGAGGAGGGGCGGGGAGACCGGGAGCUGGGGGUAGGGGUUGGGGGUGCCGCCUCCCGGGUGAGCACGCGCCCUUCCAAGUCGCGGGACCGUGUCCCCGUUUAAUCAGGAGCUGCAGGCGGACGCCAACGUGCAGCCGAGCUCCCAGGCCCUAAACUGCGAAACAGACAUCACAGGACCGUCUGUGCCAAGGCAGGGGGCCUCCCGAGCUGGGCCGGGGGACGGGAAUAGGGGGCUGCAAACCCCAGGUGGGGGGUGGGAGGAGAGACAGAGGCAGUGGCCAGGGAGGGGCAGAGGGGAUGGAUGAGGAGGAGGAGUAAAAGAACUCACUGAGAAGGAGUUCCCGUCGUGGCUCAGUGGUUAACAAAUCCGACUAGGAACCAUGAGGCUACGGGUUCGAUCCCUGGUUAAGGAUCCCUGGUUAAGGAUCCGCCACUGCCCUGAGCUGUGGGGUAGGUCGCAGACGCGGCUCGGAUCCAGCGUUGCUGUGGCUGUGGUGUAGGCCGGCGGCUAUUACAGCUCCGAUUCGACCCUGGGAACCUCCAUAUGCCGCGGGUGCCGCCCUGGAAAAGGCAAAAAAGACACACACACAAAAAGAGGAGGGAGCGCGAGGAUACGAAGGGAAAGCAGAUGGAGUCAAGAGGAGAGGCGACGGGAGGAACAAAGCGAGGGGAAGGGGACCCCGAGAGCACAGGACCCUUCGCGCCCUCCGGAAGGGCCUGUCCCCCACUCCCCGGGGCAUCACUUGGGGGACAAGUGGGUGGGAGCAAGGAGAGGGAGAGCAGAAAGGCUUCCAGAGAGACCCCGAGCACAGGCGACGAGCAGGGGAAACAACGGGAAGCAGGGAGGGAGGAGUGCCUGAGAGAGAGGGGCGGGGGGGAGAGGAGGAAGCUCUGAGAAGCAGGUCGGAAGGCUGGUGAGAGGAAGAGAGAAAAGCUGUGAGCAAGUGGGUUGGAGACAGACAGCUGGACGGGUGAUAGAGACGGACCCGCGGGGGGGACACGGAAUGACAAGACAGAUGCGCGCGAAGGAAACCAGCACACAGGGUGCGGGAGAUGCCUGUGGGAAGCCGGCGUGCAAGUCACAGAGCAGCCACAGGGCAGAGGAGGCAGAGCGGAGGAGAGAAUGCAGAGGGAGGGGGAGAGAAGGGAGAGAAACCAUGAGGCCAAGGAGGGAGGAGACCCUGGAGCCCGCCUGAGC